rnacentral:rRNA from 1 species
ACGGGAGGCAGCAGUGGGGAAUAUUGCGCAAUGGGGGAAACCCUGACGCAGCAACGCCGCGUGAAGGAUGAAGGUUUUCGGAUUGUAAACUUCUUUGACGAGGGACGAUAAUGACGGUACCUCGAAAACAAGCCACGGCUAACUACGUGCCAGCAGCCGCGGUAAUACGUAGGUGGCGAGCGUUGUCCGGAUUUACUGGGUGUAAAGGGCGAGUAGGCGGGAUUGAAAGUCAGUAGUGAAAUACCGAGGCUUAACUUCGGGGCUGCUAUUGAAACUUCAGUUCUUGAGUGAUGGAGAGGCAGGCGGAAUUCCCGGUGUAGCGGUGAAAUGCGUAGAGAUCGGGAGGAACACCAGUGGCGAAGGCGGCCUGCUGGACAUUAACUGACGCUGAGGCGCGAAAGCGUGGGGAGCAAACAGGAUUAGAUACCCUGGUA